CAUCCCUGGGGCUGCUACGGGAGGGUCGGAUUUCUUAGCUUUAGAGACUUCAGUCGCACUCCCCACCCCCCAUAUAUUUCUCUCGACCUCACGCCCUGGAAGAAGCAGCGCGGGGCUCCCAGUUUGGCUCUGAAAUCGGUCGCUCCAGAGGCAUCACCCACCUUGGGAAAUACUGGCCUCGAUGAAGAGCAACUGCCAUUCCAACAUGACGACAUCUAUCAGGCAAGAAGUCUGCUUGAGAAAUGCAAAAGUGACAUCGGAGAAGAAGUUUCACACACUCAACUCUGGGAGUUCACACUUAACCGCAAUUGUAGGCCACAGCUUUACGUGUAAAUAAAAGAUUAUUUAAAAAUAA